rnacentral:rRNA from 1 species
GUCCACGCCGUAAACGAUGGGUACUAGGUGUGGGGGUGUCGACUCCCUCCGUGCCGAAGCUAACGCAUUAAGUACCCCGCCUGGGGAGUACGGCCGCAAGGCUAAAACUCAAAGGAAUUGACGGGGGCCCGCACAAGCAGCGGAGCAUGUGGUUUAAUUCGAAGCAACGCGAAGAACCUUACCUGGGCUUGACAUGUGCCUGACCGCCGUGGAAACACGGCUUCCCUUCGGGGCAGGUUCACAGGUGGUGCAUGGCUGUCGU